UGGGCUCCUGGGGAAAGAUGGAUAGAGGGUUCCCCUCCUCCCUAUUGGGCAUGCUAUCUUGUCAUUCUAUUUUCUGGCCUGGAAUAAAGCAGGAAGAAGGCCCUAAUAACAUGAAGACCCUUUGAUCUCGCGCUUCCUGACCUCCAGAACACUCACAGUACAUCCCUGUCUGUGAUCAAAAGUUGCGGCAAAUAAGAAAUAUGCUGAGCUGGGAAAUUAUGCAUGAAAGCUCAAGCCAUAAGUCUGCUACCAGGCGACAAGGCUGUUCCUGUGAAAAAUGCCAACAGUAGGACUGUGAUUUCACAUCACAUCUGAGAGGGAUUUGAGGGAGAUGGCUUUUAAGCCAAAGAUAGAGGCAGGCUGGUUCUUCAGACCGACUUCUGAGCAAGCAGAGCUCCACCGCCCCCAAUGUGGUGAACGCAGCCCGGGCCAAAUUCCGCACUGUCGCUAUCAUCGCUCGCAGCCUGGGGACCUUCACCCCUCAGCAUCACAUUUCUCUCAAAGAGUCCACCGCGAAGCAGACUGACAUGAAAUAUAGGUAUCUUGGGAAAUCAGGACACAG